GCCCAGCCAAAGGCUUGCCGCUCAGAGGCAAAUGUCACCGUGGUAGAGUUGUCUUAAUGAGAAAGCAUGCUUGCUUCUCUUCUGGGGGAGUUUCCUAGAGCGAUGCUCUUAGAAACUCCUUGGCAGGGAUCCUGAGCCAGGCUUGGCAUUGACAGCCUCCUCCUGCUGGCAUUAACAAGCCUCUUAUUUAAAUGUAAAUGAGCUCUCAGUGCCAGUUUGUGAGUGAAACACAUCGCUUGUGUUAAACCAGAGCCGGAACGCUACAGCACACCAAAUGUCGGCUUGGUUUCGACUUCCCCGCCAUACUCAGUGUAGUGCUUUGCCUUGGCUUCUCCAUCUGCAGAGUUGGGUGUCCUCAGACAACAGAGAGGAUCUGCAGAGUCCUGUGGCCCCCCUCAUAGCUGCUAAUCUGCCAUGGUAAGCUCUAAGGUGGAGGAUCUGCCUCUGUGCAGUAGGUGACCAGAGCCUACCAGGAGCCGCUGUUGGAUCCCGUGGUAUCCAGUCCCCCCUUUUGAUUUCAUUGUCUGACGCACAUAGUUGUUCCCACUCCGAGUGUAACUCCUAACAAGCCCUGGGCACAAGGAAUCAGGCCGGCCUCCCUGCGUGCUGAGAGGCAAGCGCCUGGUUGGAGCAGAUGGAGCGUGUCUAUCAUGGCGGCUGCACAACCAGUCUGGUCACUUCAGAUGUCUCUCCAAUUAACACUCAUGGAGGCGGCCAACUGCUCAAGCAGCAGAAUGUGAUGGUGGAGAAGAUGGUGGGAAGGCCCGGGCCCGGUGCCACACCUAUUA